rnacentral:rRNA from 1 species
GUUCCAGACUCCUACGGGAGGCAGCAGUGGGGAAUAUUGCACAAUGGGGGAAACCCUGAUGCAGCGACGCCGCGUGAGUGAAGAAGUCUCUCGGUCUGUAAAGCUCUAUCAGCAGGGAAGAAAAUGACGGUACCUGACUAAGAAGCCCCGGCUAACUACGUGCCAGCAGCCGCGGUAAUACGUAGGGGGCAAGCGUUAUCCGGAUUUACUGGGUGUAAAGGGAGCGUAGACGGCGCUGCAAGUCCGGAGUGAAAGCCCGUGGCUUAACCAUGGUACUGCUCUGGAAACUGUGGAGCUUGAGUGCGGGAGGGGCAGGCGGAAUUCCUAGUGUAGCGGUGAAAUGCGUAGAUAUUAGGAGGAACACCGGCGGCGAAGGCGGCCUGCUGGACCGUAACUGACGUUGAGGCUCGAAAGCGUGGGGAGCAAACAGGAUUAGAUACCCCUGUAGA